rnacentral:rRNA from 1 species
AGAGUUUGAUCAUGGCUCAGAUUGAACGCUGGCGGCAGGCUUAACACAUGCAAGUCGAGCGGGGAUUGGGUGCUUGCACCUAAUCUUAGCGGCGGACGGGUGAGUAAUGCUUAGGAAUCUGCCAUUUAGUGGGGGACAACAUUCCGAAAGGGAUGCUAAUACCGCAUACGCCCUACGGGGGAAAGCAGGGGAUCUUCGGACCUUGCGCUAAAUGAUGAGCCUAAGUCGGAUUAGCUAGUUGGUGGGGUAAAGGCCUACCAAGGCGACGAUCUGUAGCGGGUCUGAGAGGAUGAUCCGCCACACUGGGACUGAGACACGGCCCAGACUCCUACGGGAGGCAGCAGUGGGGAAUAUUGGACAAUGGGGGGAACCCUGAUCCAGCCAUGCCGCGUGUGUGAAGAAGGCCUUUUGGUUGUAAAGCACUUUAAGCGAGGAGGAGGAGCUCUAGGCUAAUAUCCUAGAUGCUUGGACGUUACUCGCAGAAUAAGCACCGGCUAACUCUGUGCCAGCAGCCGCGGUAAUACAGAGGGUGCGAGCGUUAAUCGGAUUUACUGGGCGUAAAGCGUACGUAGGCGGCUUUUUAAGUCGGAUGUGAAAUCCCUGAGCUUAACUUAGGAAUUGCAUUCGACACUGGGAAGCUAGAGUAUGGGAGAGGAUGGUAGAAUUCCAGGUGUAGCGGUGAAAUGCGUAGAGAUCUGGAGGAAUACCGAUGGCGAAGGCAGCCAUCUGGCCUAA